UGUCAGAGAGCGGCCCCUUGAGACAGGUGGGACAUGUCAUUUCUCACAUGAGGUCCCGGCGAGAAGGACCUGCUUCCAUCAGAUUCACACUUGGGAGAGGGGCCCGGCCUCCAGGAGCGCCAGGCAGAAAGGGCACCCAUUAGGAAGAAGAACACAGAGGCCAUGGGAGUGAAAAGUUUGAUGCUGGAAAGCAACAGUAGCACAUUCUGCUACAGAGCGGAAUGAAAAACCCUGGGGAGCAAAUUCCUGAGCCAGAGAAUGGAGCGGAGGAACCAGCCAAGGAGGAUAAAGAGGUGGGAACAGGCAAGAAAACCUGGACUUAGCCUAGAAAAUAAUGAAGAAGGACAGAAAGAGAAUACCAUUCUACUACACCCGCUGAUGACUUAAAACCUGCGUGCUCUGAGGCUGCCCGACCCUGAGCUCCAGAACAGACCAUCGAGUUCAGGAGACAAGCAUGUCAGCCAUGACACAAGGCAGAUGAGAGGGACCCCCAGCGUCCACACGUGGAGGCAGCGGGGGCAGCCGUGACUUCCUUCUGCAGUGUUGAUUCAGCUCCCUUUGAAGGCGGAUCCAUACAAACAGGCUGACCAUCAGGGCUGGUCCCAGGCCACCAGGCUGGGUGCAAUGCAGAAAUGGAGAUCUGCCCCGGGGAAGGCAGGUGAGUGUAGGAAGGAGGGAGGGCUGCGAGAAGCUGGGGGCAGCCUCCAUCCCCCUGUGGCCUGGGUGGGCCUGUGCCCCCCCAACCCCCCGACGCAGCUUCCCACACUGGGAGCACAGUUCCUCCCUCCUCUGCCUUCCUCUGCGUGGUGUGGCUCCUCCUUGAGGGAGAGAGCUGAGGAGGUGGCAUUCUUGCUUCCCUGACUCACCCAAAGGAAGAUUUCACAGCCCCUGGCAAGGGCUGCCAGACAGGCUCACCUGUCACCCCCUGUCCAGGGACAGACUGACCGGUAGCCUUGGCUGGGUGGGGAGUUAUGCUGGGAAGUCUUCCAGGCCCCCUGGGGGUGGGAAGAUGCUCAAUGUUCAAAGGAGAUGGAACGAGGAAAACAGUUAAGCAACGAUGGACUCCAGGGGGAAAACCGGAGAAGAAGAAACUGUAAUUCCAGUCCGUCCACAUGGCCCAGCAGUGAACGACAAUUGCAUGGUCAGAGAGAGCAAAAGCACCACGCCGACUGAAAGCAGCUCGAAUGUGGUGGGGCAGUGGGAGAUAAUGCCCUCAUCUACCAAAACAAGAUCUGCCACCUUCGCAGACCACUAAACCUCAUUCCUCCACCCACCUCCCCACCCCCAUGAAGGCCAACUGACCAGAGAGCAGGGCUCCCGAGGGUCGGGUCGGGUCGGGUCGGGUUGGGUCGGGUGGGUGCCUCUUACCCUAACUGAGGCUCUGCCCUGGACUCGGAGUCCACUUGCUGUCAAAGCAUGCCACUCUUCUUUCUGAUACUUGACAUAUUUCUUUUCCCGUUCAAUUCAUGGUUUCUGCCCAAACGGAGCCACGUGAGGACUUCUUUGGGGAUGUGUCUCCAAGAAAAGUGUGGGCUGCCUUCCUCACCCUGGAUGCCUGUGGGCAGCCUUCCUCACCCUGGAUGCCUGUGGGCAGCCUUCCUCACCCUGGAUGCCUGUGGGCUGCCUUCCUCACCCUGGAUGCCUGUGGGCAGCCUUCCUCACCCUGGAUGCCUGUGGGCUGCCUUCCUCACCCUGGAUGCCUGUGGGCAGCCUUCCUCACCCUGGAUGCCUGUGGGCAGCCUUCCUCACCCUGGAUGCCUGUGACUUGGUUUCCAUGGGGGCUUCCUAAGCUCAGGGACCCCAAGCCUCCAUCAAAUCUAAUGACCCGCCUUGUCUCUGAACACACCUGUGUUGUCCCCGAGCCCCUCACCAACCCCCUCUGCAACCCGGCCCACGCAUUUCCCAUCCUGAAGGGUCCAGCUCAUAGGCCGGCCCAUGUGUUCCCUUUACCCCUGCUUUGUCCCUACCUGGUGGGGAGCUGUCCCUUCUGGGCCCUAGUGUGGCACUUCACACACAAAUGUGUCCUGUGGGUGGUAUCUGGGCCUCCCCCUGCAGUGAGGGGAUGACCAAUGUGCAGAGCUCACUGGGCCUGGAUAUGGGCUCGGGUGGCACAGAACAGAGAGAAAGUGCUCCGUAAAAGUGAGCUGCGAUGCGGAGGUGGGCAAGCUCUUCCCUGGAGGGGGAAGAGCUCUCAACCCAGAGGGAUCUGACCAGGAAGGUUCACCCCCCCUCCACCCAGGAAGCCCCUGCAGACAGUAUGUGUUUUAGGCUUUGCUGGCCAAAUGGUCUCUGCCGCGACUACUCAGCUCUGCCAUUGUGGCUGCAGAGUGACCAUAGACCUUCUGAAAGUGAAUGAGUAUGACUGUGUUCCAAUAAAACUUUAUUGACAAAAACAAAAAAAAAAAAAAAAAAAAAAAAAAAAAAA
rnacentral:lncRNA from 1 species